GAAAAAAUUGUCUUUGAUUUUCUAAAAAGAAUCCGCAAUUACUUAGUUGCCAACCCAAUAAAACAAAGCGUUGAUUACGAUGAGAAAGAAAAUAUUAUUGUUCGUAUUACUCGUCGUGUAUUUUGUAUAUCGCGCCUUUUCUAUAUAAAAUAGAAUAGAAUAAAUUAUAAAUAAAUCGUCGCUUUAAAUAGAUGCUAUUUUCGACGUUAAAAUACAGAUAAUUCAUUAAGUUAAUUAUUAAGUUUUUAUUCGUUCGUUAAACAAAUUCCUAUCUUAAUAAUAAGUACCAUUACUUUUGGACAGGUACGACGAUCAUUUGUAAUCGUGACACAUCUUUCUCUCUGUAUAAGUAUAUAUGUAUUUCUUUCAGUCAAAUAUUUUAUCAUUAAAGAAAAAACGACAUAUCGUUAAGUCUUAUUUUUAAACGAUUAACUGUACAAUUAAACCAUCGUAUGUAUUUUUAUCUAUUUCAAAAGAACACGUAUUAAAUAUUAAAAUUAAUAUAUUUAUAUAUAUAUAUAUACUUCAAAAUUCAUUAAUCCUUAAUAAGUUAUAUAUACGAUGACCCAGGAAGUAACUUCACUUUAUAAUUUUCAAUUAAGAUAAAAUGAAGCGAAGGAAGAGAUGUAUACAAAUAAAUUUGUGGUAUGCACAAAUUUUCAUCUAAUUGAAUAUUUCGAUAUAAUUUUUCUUUUAACUUCAGUUUUAUUUUAAUCUACCAGGAACUUUGAAUUUUAUCGUAUUACGGCACUGAAGUAUUAAAAAGAAUAGCACGUUCAUGUACGCUCUGUAUAUCCACAUGCUUUUGGCCAUAUAUAUAUAUAUAUAUAUAUAUAUAUAUAUAUAUAUAUGUAAUAAAAAAUAACACGUUUAUAAUAACACGUUCAGAGACAAGAGUCAAAAGGGGUGUGCUCGUUAUUAUAACGGAGGUGAUUUUUAUUUCAACAAAAAUAACAAUUUUUUUACAUUGAACUGUUUUGAUAAUAAUAUUAUCGUGUGUUAUGCUACACCUGUAGUUUACUGUAGGCGUGGUAUGUUCUCGCUCGCUAUUAAUUUGUAGUUAAUUUAUUUGAAUUAAUCGCAUUAAUAGCGGGUUUUUUUCAUAGGUAAUAUCGCUUCUUAGCCUUUUUUUUUUAUUUAUUUAUUCAUUUAUUUAUUUAAUAAUCAUUAUUUCACUUCUCCUUCCUCUUUUUUUCUUUUUCUUCCUUUUUUUUUCUUUGAAAUCUCGUUUCGUUUAACUUUUUGUCUCCUUAGCUUCUCGCGUUUUGCACGACCGCAUUGUAAGCAUUAUCAUCGUCAUCAUCAUCAUUGUUAUUACUAUUUAUUAUUUAUUAUUAUUAUUAUUAUUAAUAUUAUCAAUAUUAUUAUUAAUAUUAUUAUUGUUAUAAUUAUUAUAAUUAUUAUUAUUACUCUUAUUGUUAUUAUUAUUAUUAUUUAUUAUUAUUUAUUAUUAUUAUUAUAGUACAAUAUUUUUAGGAGGGAGCUGAGUACCUCGGCGUGUUUUAUUUCGUUCCUUUUUUUUUUUUCUUUUUUCUCUUCUCUUUAUCUAUGUACAGACUUUUUACUUGAAAGAGAUCGAUCGAUAAUUAUCGAUCUUCUUCCAGGUUACAAAUGAGUAGGUACUUACAUACACACGUCUUAUACCUUAUAUACCUUACGUCGUUUCUAGUCUAUAGAAUAGUCUAGAAUAGUGUGAUUUGCCUGUCAUAUCAACGAUAAUAUUCGUUUCUUUUUUUUUUUUCCUUUUUAUUUUUGUUUUUUUUUUUUCUUUUUUUUUUAUCGUGUCUGUGUGUUCGUGUAUGUAUAUAUAUAUAUAUAUUUUUAUUUUCAUUCGACGUUUUUUUUACGUUGCUUAAAAAGUACUUAAAAAGAGGGCUGCCAUUGUCGCACUCCGCUUUCUAUUCUCUUUCUAUUUCUUCUUCUUCUCUCUCUCUCUCUCUCUCUCUCUCUAAAACGUACGGCACGUACGGCAAUUCCACCAUUUUUCCACCGCAUACAACAGUGUCACUUCAGAGCGAACGUUGAAAAUCUUGGAAAAAAAAUAAAUUUUUUACAUGUGAUUGCGAUAUUGCAUCCAACAGAUUUGAUGCAACGCAAACAUGUAAAUGAUUUUACAUCGGAAGGAAGUUUCUUCUUAUCACAAUUGGAGAGAUCGAACCAUGUUGUGUAAAUGGAAUUUAAUAAUAAAAAACGAUAGAUGGAAAAGAAAAAAAGAGUGAAUACAUUCAAUCGCUUCAAUUGCUGCAAAAAAGAAAGCAGAGAAACGCCAAGGGGGCACUCUUCC